UGCAGCCUGCGGAAAGGGGCGGUGACGGACCACUGUCAGUCUCAUACCUUAUAUGGAAAUUGGACUAUUACAUUCCGGAAAUGAAGGGGGCGCUAUUUUCACAGUCACUAGUAUAAAUACCUUAAAGAAGCGGGGUAAGAAGUUUGAGAGGUUUCACCACUGACAUUUGCCACGCGAUCCACAAUGCAAAAACCAGGAAGUCAGCAAAAGAUGCACGUAUCAAUUUGUAACACUGGGAUCGGAGCUAAAAUUGUUCCGUACUGCAUGAACAACAAGUACUACUGUCCCCUUUGCUCAUACAGUGCGGAUGAGUCUUACAAGGUUAAGAACCACAUUGCAAGAACUGCUGUGGUUCAACAUAACGAAUUCCAUAUCUUCAGAUGUGGCCUACCAUGUAGAGACACCACUCACUUCCAUUGUCCUUACUGUUUUUCCACCAUUGACAGAAGGGACAGGUUUGUUAAUCAUUUGGUUAAUCACAGAAUGACUUUUCACAUGGUGUCCAGCUGUGCAGCAGCCCAGCCACCUGUCCACCUACCAGCUACAGACAUCCAGGCUACACAGGCGCCUGUCCGUCCAGCAGCUACAGACAUCCAGGCUACACAGGCGCCUGUCCGUCCAGCAGCUACAGACAUCCAGGCUACACAGGCGCCUGUCCGCUCAGAAGAUAUGAUUACAUGUGAAAUGUGCAAUCUGCGCCUGAGAAAAAAGAAUCUUCGUAUUCAUUUGAAAAGAAAACACCAUGAAAAAGUGGAGCUGAUUUCACAAAAUCAUCAUUUAAGGAGUCAGUGUGUGGAUGCAAAAAAAGGUGUUUUUGCUGUUCAGAAAUCCUUUUGUGGUCCAUCAAAACCUAUACAUGUAAUCAAAAACACCUGGUCACAAUUUCACAGAUCAGAGUGUGAGCUUGACAGGUGUAAUGUGAAUGCACAAUUUGCCAAGCGAAGUGGGAUUUUGCCUUUUGAGUGUGAACACAUUCAAUCAUUACGCUUUUGUCCACGCGCCACAGACUCAGAAGGACCUCUGUCUGAAACUACCCUCAACAUCCUGGUUGACAACUUAUGGUUCAGUGUUAAAAGAAAAGAAGAACUUUUAAAAAAUCAGCAAGAGGCGCUAUCAAGUAAUACGCCGUUUUCAGUUCUUCUUUUUGGCAGUGGGACAGACACAACUUUUCACGUGUCUAUCUUUGAACCAAAAAUGGCAUUUUUCAGCAGACUUGGAAGGGUGAUUGUCACUUACGACAAAGGAAAAAAUACCUGGCAUUGUGCAUGUACAGAGGGCAAAAGGUCCUGUACGCACAAGGCUACGGCAAAGUGGCAUCUUUUUGAAAAAAUGCCAGACAUGUUCAAAGCAGCAGUACAUUCAGAGGAGGAUGUUAUGUGUGGGACAACAGUAUCAGAAUGUCAGGAGGAAAGUGGUUCCAUUACUGAUGAUGCAGCAGAGAGGAUAAUCAAGUAUUUGAUUUACCACAAGAAAAUACCUGCUGAUCUUCCUGACAGUCUUAUCACCAGAAGUAGAGACGCCAAGUCUCUCAAUGGGUUCCCCAAACAUCUGAUCCCAUCAGAGACUGAAUGCACAGAAUGUGGACAGCACGCCAGUCUUGGUGACCCUCAGUUGUUGUCUUCCACUGCUAAAAUAGUGACUCUGACAGGAGUAGUUAAAGGUAUAUCAACAUACAGGAAGACUUGCCCCAACUGUUCGAUGGUUUACCGAUAUCAAGACUGGGAAGAUGGUAUUCACAACUUCAACGAUCACUUGCUGCUGUCCAUACAUUUUUGUCUGGUACUGAGGAAUGCAUUGCAGACUCACACUGCUGUAAGUCGCAUAAUCGAAACUAUCGAAUACACAGAAGGAGAGAACUUUCCUUUCAAGGAUCGAAUCCUGCAGGCAUAUCUGUCGUUUGAAGGUCUAAGUGACCAUGAUUACCAAUACUCAUGUGAUUCAUGUGGGUAUCAUCCUGCAAUUGUUGUCAUGGAUCUACAUAAGAAAGGUGUUUUCAGCAUGCCAGUUAGUGAAAUACCAAACCCACCUCAGCAAUAUAAUGGCGAAGUUAAUGCGCGCUCAUUUUGGGAAGCGGUUACUAUGGAAGUGAUUAGCCGUGGACUUUAUCCACCUGGCUGCAAGAAUCCUUUUGUUGUAAAGCCUACUUAUCACAACUGGUCCCCCUGGAUUGGACCACAGACAAGACGAUCUGACAUUUUGAUCAACACAGAGAGUGAAAAAGUCCACUUGCCUGAUUCCGACAGUGAUGUAGACCAGUUUCUCACAGAAGAGCGGCUUGCAGAUGAGGUUCUCAAUCUCAAGCUACCUGAGAUCAGGAGACUCUGCAGUCAAUGUGGAAUUGACAGCAGAGGUUCUAAGAUGGAUCUUGUGCUCCAUCUGCGGGACAAAAUGGCUUCUAGAGCCACAUAUAACAAGGUUUUUGAGAAAGUGUGGGGUGCCUCUGGUGGAUGGGCUGUAAUCACUUGUCCCUGUGGCAUUAUUUAUUCUGUAAAGUUUAACCUGAGAGCGGAGAGCCCUAGAGACUUUGCAGACCUUCUUUUAUCCUGGAAGUUUUUUCCCAAUAUUACAGUGUAUGACUACCCCAGGGGAUUGGUAAGUCAUCUAAAGAAGAGGUGUGCUAAGGAUACCCCAUUUACCAUCCACGAUGGUAGAUUGGUUGAGGCCACCCCUGAAAACAUAAGACAAGCUACUGAAAAAAAACUUGCUGUAAACUUACCCUGGUUGAAGCACAGGAAAGAACCAGAAGACAAGGGAGGGCAUCCUGUCACUGGCUCAUUAGAGCAUUAUUGUCUGAGUGACGUUUUCCACCAAGGCAAUAGUAAGGAUGAGAAGGAUGUCUUGCGGAAGAUUGAGAUGGUUCCGGAACUGGCAGGAAGAUUAAACAGCCAGUGUGCAGAGCAACUAUUUGCAGGCAUGAGGAAAAAUAACUACUUCCUGAAUAUGCUCAACCCAUCCACGCACAUCUUUCUGCAAAGAAACAUCCUCCACCAUUUCAAUCUUAGGAAGAACACAAAAACCAAACAAAACAUUCUAAAAGUUGCGGGGCCGCAUGCAAAUUUGGUCCUAGACAAAAAUGGAUGCAUCAUAAUGGGCUGUGAGAAAAACCAGCAACAUGCUUGCAGUUUGGAAGCCAGCGUUAUUCAAACUCACCAAUGUUCUCUUGAUGACUCUUUGACAAGCUUACAAACAACUGGAGCAAAUAAAUUCACCUGGACUCAAAAGCCUAAUAACACAGAAAUUACUUUGCUUGCUCAAGUAUUGGACCAAACCAGAGAUCCAGCUGAAUAUGUUGCUUGUGUUGAUGGGCAGGUCCUCACCAGAGGAGACAUGUUCACUCUUGGUUUAUCGCAAGACAUGAAUGGGCAGAUUCUGAACUCCUGUCUGAAAGUUGUUGAAAGAAUGUGCAUCAACAAGGGCAUCAAAGUUUUUGCAGGAAACAGUCAUGUAGUCCACACCUGGUUUCCACCUCUUUCCCUUGACCCAGCACAACACCUACCACCGCAGGCACAAGAUCUGGACUGGGUUCUGAUUCCUGUGUGGCAUCCUGGACAUUGGACACUAUGCAGAAGUCUGUCUUCAGAUGUCAUCUGGUCCAUGGACAGAAUUUGUUGGCAACGAUGUUGAGGGAUUGCCGAAACAAGGACUGUCCAACAACUGUGGAAUGUUUGUAGUGAUGUAUGCACUGUACUUUGUGAUGGGAGCAUCAUUUGAUUUCAGCGAGAAUGAUAUGAUGACAAUACGAAGAUGGUGGUCUCUCACUCUCUUGACAAACUUCCCUGUGAAGUCCAGAGAAGAACUGCAAAAGGAGAGAAAGCGGAAAAAAGUUGAGGAAAGGGAAAAAUGUGAGACUCUGUUUGCUGAUGACCACAACUAUGCCAAAGCAACCGAGGCACAAAUUGAGGUACAAAGUAUACCGCCAAUCUUACAGAUGCCUUUGAUUGUCCUGGAAGCUAUUCUCCAGGAGGUAAUACUGGCACAGGGAGACACAGCUUACCUCACGUUGGCAUUGACAUGCAAGUCCUUUGAAGCCAUUGUGUCUGACCCAGUGUUCAGGAAGAAGACUCACUUUGCUUGGUUGGAUGGUGAGAUCAACUGGGAAAAUUUUUCUGAAUCAUUCAAGGCAGAAAACAGGAUUCCUUUUGCGGUUAUCCAAUGUUCUUCCUGUAACCGGCAGUAUAAAGACUCUGUGGGCUUCACCGGGCAUGGAAGACGAGGAGAGUUCCCUCGUUACUAUUGUGAUGGCAUACCUGGACACUGCCCUGAAUGCCAGUACUAA